rnacentral:rRNA from 1 species
UACGGGGGGGGCAAGCGUUGUUCGGAAUUACUGGGCGUAAAGGGCUCGUAGGCGGCCAACUAAGUCGGACGUGAAAUCCCUCGGCUUAACCGGGGAACUGCGUCCGAUACUGGAUGGCUUGAGUUUGGGAGAGGGAUGCGGAAUUCCAGGUGUAGCGGUGAAAUGCGUAGAUAUCUGGAGGAACACCGGUGGCGAAGGCGGCCAGCUGGGCCAGAUCCGACACUGAGGCGCGAAAGCGUGGGGAGCAAACAGG